UUUGGAGAGUUUGAUCCUGGCUCAGAGUGAACGCUGGCGGCAUGGUUAAGACAUGCAAGUCGAACGAAAAGCAUGACUUCGGUUAUGUGGAAAGUGGCGAACGGGUGCGUAACACGUGAGCAACCUGCCCUUGAGUAUGGAAUAGCCCGCCGAAAGGCGGAUUAAUGCCGUAUGUGGCCUUUCAUCGCAUGGUGAGAUGGCUAAAGCUUGUAAUGGCGCUCAAGGAUGGGCUCGCGGCCUAUCAGCUUGUUGGUGAGGUAACGGCUCACCAAGGCUAAGACGGGUAGCUGGU
rnacentral:rRNA from 1 species